AACGAACGCUGGCGGCAGGCCUAACACAUGCAAGUCGAACGCUGUAGCAAUACAGAGUGGCAGACGGGUGAGUAACGCGUGGGAACAUGCCCUUCGGUUCGGAAUAACUCAGGGAAACUUGAGCUAAUACCGGAUACGCCCUUAGGGGGAAAGAUUUAUUGCCGAAGGAUUGGCCCGCGUAAGAUUAGCUAGUUGGUGGGGUAAUGGCCUACCAAGGCGACGAUCUUUAGCUGGUCUGAGAGGAUGAUCAGCCACACUGGGACUGAGACACGGCCCAGACUCCUACGGGAGGCAGCAGUGGGGAAUAUUGGACAAUGGGCGCAAGCCUGUUCCAGCCAUGCCGCGUGAGUGAUGAAGGCCUUAGGGUUGUAAAGCUCUUUUGGCGGGGACGAUAAUGACGGUACCCGCAGAAUAAGUCCCGGCUAACUUCGUGCCAGCAGCCGCCGUAACAC
rnacentral:rRNA from 1 species